CUCAAAACAUUUUCUCCUGUAAUUGAAGAGAGCUGCAGAUGAUAUUUUCAAGAUUACUUUCGAUCAAAUUGGAGGUGCAUCCUGAUGUUUUUGGGCCUGCUGGAUCCAAUGGUUAAUUUGCUCAAAAUCUGCCCCCGAUUUGAAGAAAUCGAGCCACCAGCUUGCGGUGUAUGGAGACCAAUUGGCUGAUUCGAGAUAAAUUGGUGAGGACGCAUAUGUGCAUCUUGUUCUCCAUGAUGAAUAGAAUGUAAUGGUGGUGGUGCGCGACUGUAGUUGUUGAGGCCGGUGCCUGGAAUUGGGGAAGAAAGUUCGCUGUUCGCUGCCUUCGUACUCGUAUCGGUUCGUUUCUGAUUUAAGUUGUUUCGCGAAGAUAUGGGACCAUGUACUUGUGCCUCUUGGUGAGUACUAACAGCCUGUGAUGGAGUUUUGGCAUGGGUGAUGAUGGAUUGGCCGGAGUUGAAGGUAAAACCGUGCGUGGGGAUGGGUUUUUGAGUCUGAGAUUCAUUUGAUUUUUGAUCCGUUGAGGCUGUUUGUUGGUAUAAGAUUGUAGAAUGGGAUGAGGAGGUAUUGGUGGUGUGAUAGGUUUAUCCGGCGGUAUGGUGGUCGGAUUUGGCUUUGAAGAUGCCGGCUCCGUAGGGUGUAGAAGACGAUUCACUGUUUAAUUGUUAAGAAUUAUUAUUAUUAUUAUUAUUAUUAUUAUUAUUAUUAUUAAUUCUUUUUGAAGAUUGUUGUUAAAAAUAUAUCUAAUUUAGAGGUCCUAAAGGUUUUGUAUUCACUUGUUUUGGAUCUUUAAGUUUGAAUUAAAAUUGUAACGGCCCUAAACUUAAUAGAGUGACUAUUAGUGAAAUCAUUCUAAAAUUUCAGUGACCGUUUUCAAAUUUUGAGUUAAGUUCAGUGACCGUUUGUAAAAUUAAUCUGUAAUCAACAAAUAAAAACAUUACUAAUAAAAAAAUUCAAAGAAACGGAGGAAAAAAAAGGGAGUCUAUGUGACAGAGACUUGAUCGCUCCAUAAGACUAUAAGUCUCAGUGUGAUCUCUCC
rnacentral:lncRNA from 1 species